UCCAGACUCCUACGGGAGGCAGCAGUGGGGAAUAUUGGGCAAUGGACGCAAGUCUGACCCAGCAACGCCGCGUGAAGGAAGAAGGCUUUCGGGUUGUAAACUUCUUUUAAGGGGGAAGAGCAGAAGACGGUACCCCUUGAAUAAGCCACGGCUAACUACGUGCCAGCAGCCGCGGUAAUACGUAGGGGGCAAGCGUUAUCCGGAUUUACUGGGUGUAAAGGGAGCGUAGACGGCGAAGAAAGUCUGAAGUGAAAGCCCGCGGCUCAACCGCGGAAUGGCUUUGGAAACUUUUUUGCUGGAGUACCGGAGAGGUAAGCGGAAUUCCUAGUGUAGCGGUGAAAUGCGUAGAUAUUAGGAGGAACACCAGUGGCGAAGGCGGCUUACUGGACGGUAACUGACGUUGAGGCUCGAAAGCGUGGGGAGCAAACAGGAUUAGAUACCCGUGUA
rnacentral:rRNA from 1 species